rnacentral:rRNA from 1 species
UACGAAGGUCCCAAGCGUUAUCCGGAUUUAUUGGGUUUAAAGGGUGCGUAGGCGGUCUAUUAAGUCAGUGGUGAAAGCCCCAAGCUCAACUUGGGAACUGCCAUUGAUACUGAUGGACUUGAGUACAUUUGAGGUGGGCGGAAUGCGUCAUGUAGCGGUGAAAUGCUUAGAUAUGACACAGAACACCGAUUGCGAAGGCAGCUCACUAAACUGUAACUGACGCUGAGGCACGAAAGCGUGGGGAGCAAACAGG